GGCGUUCCCCACUAUGAACUUUUUAAUAAGUACUAAGGAGAGCCCAGGGCUUCCCCGGUGCCUCAGAGGUUAAAGCGUCUGCCUGCAAUGCAGGAGACCCGGGUUUGAUCCCUGAGUCGGGAAGAUCCCCUGGAGAAGGAAAUGGCAACCCACUCCAGUAUUCUUGCCUGGAGAAUCCCAUGGAGGGAGGAGCCUGGUAGACUACAGUCCAUGGGGUUGCAAAGAGUCGGACACGACUGAGCGACUUCACUUUCACUUUCAAGGAGCCAGAGCACAGUGAGAAGGCAAUGAAAGAGCAUGGCCCCCAAACACCAGUCUUCUCUUCCACCCCAAGCGAAGAAACUGAAGAAAGCCAGACCGACUCCUGCCUCCAGGCCAGACGAGGCAUCUGCUUCUUCAAAUUUGCCGAAGGAAG